CUGGAGACCACUGCCAAAGAAGGCAGUGGCAGCCCAUAUUAUGGACUUACAAAUGGUUUCUGGUAACAGCAUGGCCUAUAGACCUCAUGAUGGCUUGUACAUCCACAUGGCCUUUGGCAGUGACGCAGACUACAUGCAUCAACAUGGCCUCCAGUGGGAGCAUGGACCACAGAUAUCAACACAGACCCUGGAGACACUUCCAGCCUAGAAACCACCCUCUGCUCAGCUCAUUAAAGCACUUGCUUCAUUUUGCAGAAUGAAAUGUUCUCCAGUUCUGAAUUGAAAAUAAAGGGAAUUAAGUUAUUUAACUAAA